rnacentral:rRNA from 1 species
CGGACCACGGUAGGAUCAGCGACUGGGGUGAAGUCGUAACAAGGUAGCCGUAGGGGAACCUGCGGCUGGAUCACCUCCUUU